UUUUAUCAAAGGGGUAGUAAGCACUUGAUACUUAAUCAAGUAGUUUUGAUAUUGUAAUAUCAGUGUUUGAUAUUUAUGCUCUUUUUGUAUUAAGAGAUAUCGCUAUUCUGGCAUAUUGUCGUCUUAAAUAUAAAAUAUAAAUGAUGGAUAAUUCUACGGCACAAAGUGUAGAACAAACUUUUGGUAAAACGUUUCUGCAGUAUUGUUUACAUAAUAAAAUAUUACUCAAACGUGAUAAAUGUGGCGCUUUUGAAGUGUCUGGGACAUCAAAUAAUAUUAGAACUUUAUCAGACUGUUUAUAUAUUAUUGACAAUAUUAAAUCGGAAACAAAUAAGAAACUAAAAAAGUUACAAAAUGAAGCAUUGACUGUAGACUAUUCACGCUAUUCAGCUCUAAUAAAGACCAGGACUAAAACAAACAAAAGUAAAGUGAAAAAUAUUUCCAAAAGAAAACGUAUAUGAAUUUAUGAUAAAUGACUUCUGGAAAUAAUAAUGGAACAUUAUAUAUCGUAUAUUCAACUUGGAACUCCAUCCAAAGGAAAUUUAAGAAAGGAAUACGUUCAGAAGUCUUGCAGCCUGAUACAAAAUGUAAUGAAUGGAAGCCGCUAGUAGGUAUUAUACCAUUUAUCAUAAGAAACCUGAAAUAAAUCAUUUGAAUAUAACUACAAUAUUUAGAAUCACUAAUUUUGAAAACAAAUGGGGAUCAAUUAUUCAACACAGAUGUGAUACAGAAACAACACUUAUCUUUAUAUCUUAUGAUAUAACAAGUCUUUUUGCUCCUAAAAUAUAAGGUAAAAAUAGAUGAAAAGGUUAAUGUCAUAACAAAAGGUUCAAGGUUCAAUUUUAUCACCUAUUUUAUCAGAUAUAUAUUAUAAUUUUAUAUUACAUAAGGCAACAAAUUUAACAAUUGGUACAGUUAUAAAAUACAUAAAUGAUAUUUUAUAUGUUACUGUAAGUGAAACUUAUAAGAUGAUUUUUACAACUAACAAAAAAGGAGUACCACGAUAUAAUUGUUUUUUUAAAUCAUCAACGACACAAAGUAAUGUGGCUUAUGAUGGGAACAUAGCUGGGGACAAUAUUGCUUACAUUGGAUAUAAAAUUAAUCAUCCGCUUUAAAAAAUUUCAUUGACAAUAUUACAACUAUUCAAUGAAAUCUGAAGUGGGUAAUCUAUGUUCUUUAGUGUAAUUGUGUGAACUCGUGUAUAAUAAUAAUAAUUUAUUAUAUUUUAGGCAUUGUGCCCAUUACAAGAAAAUUUUCUAGCAGUAUUAUCAGGCAGAUUAUUAUUUUUUCUUUAUCUUUCUCUUACAACUAUUCAUAUCUUAUUUUAUAUAAUCUAUAUUUUUAUUUCUACAAAAUUAUAAAUUUAUUAUUAUUAAAUAUACGGCAUUAGAUAUACAUUGAGCAGUUGGUGUUCAGAAUCAUCCACAAAAUUCAGAAGUAGGGCGCAUGGAGAUUCAUACGAACCUGCCGAUCCUCGCACACAUCGAGUCUGCAUAGGCCUAACUCGAGCAUUGAUUUGUUAUGAUAUUAUCGAUCAUCGAUCAUCGUUAUUGUUAAGUUAAACACGUGGAAUUUGCACGUGCAUUGAUCGUCUCAGGAUAUUUUAAUACGAAAAUAAAAUAUUUAUUUAAACAAAUAAUAUAUAGACAGAAAGAAAAUAUUAAACUAAUCGAAAACAAACUAAACAUGUCUCUCUCUGCACGAGGAUUUCUGAUUUCAUUUUUAACUUCAGUUCUACCUGAGCAGCCAGAUGUGAGAAACUGUGCUUCAGUGAAAGUGUGACAAGCAGUGAAUUUAGGUGAAUGAAAAGACAACAAACACUGGCAAAUGGUAAAGCUACAAAAUGCAACAGCAAAUACCACCAAUCAAAAUAACGAACAAAGGUGAAAUAUAUUACAUAAAUAAAGCUAUAAAAAAAAUGGAAAUGAUUCAAAACCAAGAAGGAAACAGCUACGAUGACGAACUAUCAUACCAAGAUGAACACUGGAAGACAGUAACAGCGCACAAAAAGCGUAAAAUAAUACCAGGCCCAAACGCCAUGAAAACUUCACAUACAGAAAAGCAACAAUAGCUACAAGAUAUCCCACUCUGAAAUUCAUUCGGUUCACUAAUAGAAGAAAUAGAUACAGACCCAAAAGAAAAGGUUAAAACUCAUAUCGUUAAACCACCACCGAUCUACAUAGAUGCCCAAAUAAUAGAUCCACUAAUCAAAUUAUUGAAUAACACUGCUGGAAAAGAAAACUGCAGUAUAAAGCAGUUGAAACUAGAACAAGAGAAAGUACAAACAAAAACUCCAGAAAUCUUCAGAAAAGUGACGCUAUUAAAGGAGAAAAACACUGGGUAUCAUACAUACCAGCUCAAAACAGAAAAAAACUACAAAAUAGUAAUUAGAGGACUACACACAAGAACAAACACAAAAAGUAUAUGUGAGGAACUAGCAAAAAUCGGAAACAAAGCAAGAACAAUAAAUAAUAUAACCAGAUACAAUACGAAACAGCAAUUGUCACUGUUUCUAAUAGAACUUGGUAAAGUUAACUACCCUUGGGUAACUACCCAAAGGUAAUAACAAAGAAAUCUUAGACAUUAAAAAAAUCCUAAACACAAUAGUAACAAUUGAGCCACCUUGUUAUAAGAAGGACAUACCGCAAUGCAAAUGGUGUCAACAAUAUGGACACACAAAAAACUACUGCAACAGAAACCCGGAGUGUGUCAAAUGUGCAGAAAACCACCUAACAACAAACUGCCCAUAAGCAGGAAAAAUAAACGAAGUAAAAUGCUAUAACUGUGAUGGAAACCACCUAGCAAGCUAUAAAGGCUGCGAAGUCAGAAAAUAACUACAACAAAAACUGUUUCCAUCACUUCGAAGCAGAACAUAUGGCAACUAUCCCCCACAACAAGAAAUAGUAGAACUAGAGCUAACACCAAAUGUACAAAACAUACCGAAUACUAAUCAUAGAAACAUGAACACCUUUGGUAGCCGAAGUUAUGCACAAGUAACUAAUCAAACACCACCCUUAAACAACCAAGACAACAACAAUAACAACGCUGUAGAAAUCAAGGAACUGCUCAAGCAAUCCAUCAAAAACACUGAAAUGCUAACAAAAAUGAUAAGUGAGCAAAAUACAUGUUAAGUAAAAAAUAGAAAUGGGUAUGCUGAAAAUAACAGCUUGGAACUCCAAUGGCCUACAACAACGGGCCCUCGAAACUAAAACAUUUCUAUAUAACAAUAAUAUUGACAUAUUACUUGUUUCAGAAACACAUUUCACACCAAAAAGCUACAUGAAAAUACCAUAUUACACCAUCUAUAAUAACAAACACUGCUCAGGAAAAGCACAUGGUGAGGCUGCAGUGAUAAGAAAUGAUAUUAAACACCACUUACAUAGUCAAAUUAGUCAGGAAAACGUUCAAGCAACCACCGUUACAAUACAAACUAACAGCAAUUACUUCCAGAUGUCAGCAGUACAUGCACGACCGUAAUACAAAAUGACAUUACAAAAAUGGGAACAGUAUUUUCAAUCCUUAGGUAACAAAUACAUCGCAGCGGGAGACUUCAAUGCAAAGCACAUGCUAUGGGGCUCAAGAAUGAAGACACCUCGAGGUAGAACACUAGAAAAAUAUAUUAGAACUAGUAAUCUCAACAUAUUAUCCUCAGGAAGACCAUCAUACUGGCCGACAGAUCUAAACAAAACUCCUGACUUGCUUGAUUUUGCAGUUAUAAAAGGACUAAACGCAAACAAAUUAAAAAUAUCACCCAGUCUUGAGCUUAGCUCUGAUUGUACACCGAUAAUAAUAGAAUAUACAAGCAAGGCAAUACUUUAUAAAAUCCAAAUCAGAGUCGCUUUGCAAUAAAAGCACCAAAUAGCAUACAUUUAAAAAACUAAUUGAGAGCAAAAUCAACUGCAAUAUUCCACUAAAAACAUCUGAACAUAUCGAACAGGCAGUAACAACAUUGACAGAAAUUAUACAAGAAGCAGCAUGGGCAACUACUAAUUAUGAACCAAACAACAGGCAAACAAAAAUAAUUCCAACAGACAUCUUUGACAAAAUCAAGAACAUACUAAAUGAAUUAUAGACAAAAUACGGAUAAAAAGAAGAUAGAUGUACUAGCUAACUAGUGGAAACUCUAAACUCAGCAUAGAAAAUAAACUAAAAAUCUACAAAACGAUAAUAAAACCAAUUUGGAAACCAGAAACGAUAAUAAAACCAAUACCGCUAUGGGGGACAUCAACAAUGAGCCACAUAAAUAAACUAGAGUCGCUACGAUCGAAGAUACUGAGAACAAUAGUCAACGCCCCAUGGUAUGUCAGAAACGAGGAUAUACGCAAAGACUUAAAAAUACCAACUGUCAAAGAAGAAAUCGGCAGGUACGCAGAAAAAUACAAGGAAAGAACGGCAACACAU